rnacentral:rRNA from 1 species
AACGAACGCUGGCGGCGUGGAUAAGACAUGCAAGUCGAACGGGACAACAUCUGUAGCAAUACAGGUGUUGUUUAGUGGCGAACGGGUGCGUAACACGUGGGCAAUCUGCCGAGAAGUGGGGGAUAGCUCGCCGAAAGGCGAAUUAAUACCGCAUAUGAUCAGUGAAGACAUCUUCACGACAUCAAAGCCGGGGUAACCUGGCGCUUCUUGAUGAGCCCGCGGCCUAUCAGCUAGUUGGUGAGGUAACGGCUCACCAAGGCUAUGACGGGUAGCUGGUCUGAGAGGACGACCAGUCACACUGGAACUGAGACACGGACCAGACUCCUACGGGAGGCAGCAGUAAGGAAUAUUGGACAAUGGGCGCAAG